GUAUUAAGUGAGGCGAUAAGUUAGACGUUGGUCUUUAUAGCUGUUUUAUGAGGAAAAUUUUCUGCUUAGUGUCGGGGUGAGGAGAYCCCGACACGUACUAUAUCUUGGGUUAAUUUAAUGUUUACUAGGGUUAAGGUUACUCGUGUAUAAAGGAGUGUGUUAUUACUCUAUUUAUUAGUAUCACAGAUUAGCGCAGAUUACUCAUAUUAGUAUAACUAGCUUAGUUUAUUUAUGGUUUAAUUAGUAAUAAUAACAAAAAUAAUUUUUCUCGGGUUUAGCCCAACUGUUUAUUAAAAACAUUUUUGCUUAUUUAGUUUUGAGCAAUAAAACCUGCCCGGUGUGUAUAUUAACGGCCGCAGUAUUAUGACUGUGCGAAGGUAGCAUAAUUAAUUGCCCCAUAAUUGGGGGCUUGUCUGAAUGGUUUAAUGCGGUUAAAACUAAAAUUAUUUUUAUAUGUGAAUUUAAUUUUGUGAGUACGGAAUCUACAUUAUUAAGUUAGACGGAAAGACCCCAGGAUCUUUUAAUUUUUGUCUGGGGCAGAUUGCAGUGUUUUACYGCAUUUGUGACCCUCUGGUKAGAGAUUUAA
rnacentral:rRNA from 1 species